rnacentral:rRNA from 1 species
GACGAACGCUGGCGGCGUGCCUAAUACAAGCAAGUCGAACGCUGAAGGAGGAGCUUGCUUCUCUGGAUGAGUUGCGAACGGGUGAGUAACGCGUAGGUAACCUGCCUGGUAGCGGGGGAUAACUAUUGGAAACGAUAGCUAAUACCGCAUAAGAGUAGAUGUUGCAUGACAUUUGCUUAAAAGGUGCAAUUGCAUCACUACCAGAUGGACCUGCGUUGUAUUAGCUAGUUGGUGGGGUAACGGCUCACCAAGGCGACGAUACAUAGCCGACCUGAGAGGGUGAUCGGCCACACUGGGACUGAGACACGGCCCAGACUCCUACGGGAGGAAGCAGUAGGGAAUCUUCGGCAAUGGACGGAAGUCUGACCGAGCAACGCCGCGUGAGUGAAGAAGGUUUUCGGAUCGUAAAGCUCUGUUGUAAGAGAAGAACGAGUGUGAGAGUGGAAAGUUCACACUGUGACGGUAGCUUACCAGAAAGGGACGGCUAACUACGUG